rnacentral:rRNA from 1 species
AAAACUUUCAACAACGGAUCUCUUGGCUCUCGCAUCGAUGAAGAACGCAGCGAAAUGCGAUACGUAAUGUGAAUUGCAGAAUUCAGUGAAUCAUCGAAUCUUUGAACGCAUCUUGCACUCUCUGGUAUUCCGGAGAGUAUGUCUGUUUGGAGUGUCAUGA